rnacentral:rRNA from 1 species
UGAGUGCGAGUUGCUACGGCAACGAAGUUGGUGACGUCAAGCUUCCAAGAAAAGCCCUAUACCCGUUAAGGCAUCAUGGCCUGUACCCGAAACCGACACAGGUGGGGUGGUAGAGAAUACCGAGGGGCGCGAGGUAACUCUCUCUAAGGAACUCGGCAAAAUGGCCCCGUAACUUCGGGAGAAGGGGUGCCACCGCAAGGUGGUCGCAGUGAAGAGGCCCAGGCGACUGUUUACCAAAAACACAGGUCUCCGCUAAGUCGCAAGACGAUGUAUGGGGGCUGACGCCUGCCCAGUGCCGGAAGGUUAAGGAAGCCGGUUAGCGUAAGCGAAGCUGGCGACUGAAGCCCCGGUGAACGGCGGCCGUAACAAUAACGGUCCUAAGGUAGCGAAAUUCCUUGUCGGGUAAGUUCCGACCCGCACGAAAGGCGUAACGAUCUGGGCGCUGUCUCGGAGAGAGGCUCGGCGAAAUAGAAUUGUCUGUGAAGAUGCGGACUACGUGCACCCGGACAGAAAGACCCUAUGAAGCUUUACUGUAGCUUGGUAUUGUGCUCGGGCUCGGAAUGCGCAGGAUAGGUGGGAGGCUAUGAACCAUUGCUUGUGGGUGAUGGUGAGCCACUGGUGAGAUACCACUCUUUCCGAGCUAGAGUUCUAACGGCCACCCGUUAUCCGGGGGCCGGACAGUAUCAGGUGGGCAGUUUGACUGGGGCGGUCGCCUCCUAAAAGGUAACGGAGGCGCGCAAAGGUUUGCUCAGGCUGGUUGGAAAUCAGCCGACGAGUGUAAAAGCAGAAGCAAGCUUGACUGUGAGACCUACAAGUCGAACAGGGAGGAAACUCGGCUUUAGUGAUCCGACGGUUCUGCGUGGAAGGGCCGUCGCUCAACGGAUAAAAGUUACUCUAGGAUAACAGGCUGAUCUCCCCCAAGAGUUCACAUCGACGGGGAGGUUUGGCACCUCGAUGUCGGCUCAUCGCAACCUGGGGCUGAAGUCGGUCCCAAGGGUUGGGCUGUUCGCCCAUUAAAGCGGUACGCGAGCUGGGUUCAGAACGUCGUGAGACAGUUCGGUCCAUAUCCGGUGCAUGCGCAGGAAUAUUGAGAGGAUUUCUCCCUAGUACGAGAGGACCGGGAGGAACGCACCUCUGGUGUACCAGUUAUCGUGCCAACGGUAAACGCUGGGUAGCCAUGUGCGGAGAGGAUAACCGCUGAAAGCAUCUAAGUGGGAAGCCCACCUCAAGAUGAGUAUUCCCAUGGCGUUAGCCAGUAAGGUCACGGGAAGAACACCCGUUGAUAGGCUCUAUGUGGAAGCGCAGUAAUGCGUGAAGCAGAGGAGUACUAAUAGACCGAGGGCUUGAGA